rnacentral:rRNA from 1 species
AUUUGGUUGGGCACUCUAAUGAGACUGCCGGUGACAACCGGAGGAAGGGUGGGGAUGACGUCAAGUCCUCAUGGCCCUUAUGGGUAGGGCUUCACACGUCAUACAAUGGUCGGUACAGGAGGGUUGCCAACCCGCGAGGGGGAGCUAAUCCCACAAAGCCGAUCGUAGUCCGGAUCGCAGUCUGCAACUCGACUGCGUGAAGUCGGAAUCGCUAGUAAUCGUGGAUCAGCAUGUCACGGUGAAUACGUUCCCGGGUCUU